CUCGGGGUGCCUUCGAAGGAGGAGGCCUGGGCUCCAAAGGAGGGAUAACACCACAUUAAACCAUCAGACAACGAGGUUUCCGAUGCUCUCUGUUCCGUCAAGUUGGAAAUAGCGUGAAGAUGCCCUUUUUCGCCACGUUUUGUCCCUUCUGUGUCUAGACCCACAUGAAGCCCAGGGCUUGAGAUGCUGAUCCUGAGAUGAAAAGGGCCGGAGACGGCGAGGACGUCGCUGAGCUUGGUUCUAGAGACACGUGGUGGUUUAGUCAAGGUGCUGUCAGUCCAUUAAAAGACGCGCGUCCAGCCUCUGCCGCCCCACAUCUGAGCUACCAGAGGAGGAGGGGGAAACUGCUGCAAGAAUGAAAUGCAGGCAAAUCCAGAUUGAAUGAGAACAGAAAAAAGAGGGAGGACAGAGAUGCUGAAACACAGGUAGGAGAAUAUGUUUCACGGGAAACACCCACCCCCUGUCUGGCCUCGUGCUCGUGGUUAAGUUUACAAAGCACCUUUGAAA
rnacentral:lncRNA from 1 species